rnacentral:rRNA from 1 species
UACGAAGGGGGCUAGCGUUGCUCGGAAUCACUGGGCGUAAAGGGUGCGUAGGCGGGUUUUUAAGUCAGGGGUGAAAUCCUGGAGCUCAACUCCAGAACUGCCUUUGAUACUGAAGAUCUUGAGUCCGGGAGAGGUGAGUGGAACUGCGAGUGUAGAGGUGAAAUUCGUAGAUAUUCGCAAGAACACCAGUGGCGAAGGCGGCUCACUGGCCCGGUACUGACGCUCAGGCGCGACAGCGUGGGGAUCAAACAGG